rnacentral:misc_RNA from 1 species
UCUUGUGUUACCUACUAAGAUGAGUCUUAAUUUUUGGCCCUCACUACUUGGUAAUGUUAGGUUGAUGUGGAAGUACUGCCCAUUUUCCUUGAAUGCUUUACCCUUUUCACGUUGCAAUCAUGGCCAAUGGGUAGUUACUGCUUGUUCUCUUAGAUGUAGAACUUUUGAAGGGUGCACAGCAUGUUGCCACUGCUUGCCCAUAAAACAUUCAUGGCUCAAUGCGUACAACCGCUAUGCCCACCUUGGUUCUCAUCUUCAAUUAGUUUGGACAGGGCUCAUGCAGUGCCGACGUCACAGAGGAAUGCUAUCUGGUGAUCCUACCAGUAGUCAUAUACUUGUCUCAA